rnacentral:rRNA from 1 species
GAUGAACGCUGGCGGCGUGCCUAAUACAUGCAAGUCGAGCGAACAGAUGAGGAGCUUGCUCCUCUGACGUUAGCGGCGGACGGGUGAGUAACACGUGGAUAACCUACCUAUAAGACUGGGAUAACUUCGGGAAACCGGAGCUAAUACCGGAUAAUAUAUUGAACCGCAUGGUUCAAUAGUGAAAGACGGUUUUGCUGUCACUUAUAGAUGGAUCCGCGCCGCAUUAGCUAGUUGGUAAGGUAACGGCUUACCAAGGCAACGAUGCGUAGCCGACCUGAGAGGGUGAUCGGCCACACUGGAACUGAGACACGGUCCAGACUCCUACGGGAGGCAUCAGUAGGGAAUCUUCCGCAAAGGGCGAAAGCCUGACGGAGCAACGCCGCGAGAGUGAUGAAGGUCUUCGGAUCGUAAAACUCUGUUAUUAGGGAAGAACAAAUGUGUAAGUAACUAUGCACGUCUUGACGGUACCUAAUCAGAAAGCCACGGCUAACUACGUG